rnacentral:misc_RNA from 1 species
UCUCCGUUGGUGAACCAGCGGAGGGAUCAUUACAGGACUCGCAAGACUCCUACAACCCUGUGAACUUAACUCUAAGCACGUUGCUUCGGCGGGUGUCUCGGAGGGGGUUCUCCCUCCCCGAGACGCUAAACCCGCCGGCAGCCUACUAUACUCUGUCUCUUUGCGUUGGCAUCACGAGUACAAUCAAACAAGUUAAAACUUUCAACAACGGAUCUCUUGGUUCUG